rnacentral:lncRNA from 1 species
AUACAUACUGCAGAUGACCGAAUCCCUCACAUUCACUAGUCACAGACUCACAGAGCAGAACUGUAUGGAUAUGGAUAAACUGUAUCGUUGUUGUAGGUGAACCCUCUUCAAUGGCUGUCGUUACCUUGCCCUGUACCACCACUUCUUCUUGUUCCGCUUUUCGAAUUCAAGAACAAGAACAUGGCUUCCCAAUGGAACAAGUCUAGAGAGAGUCUCUCUCUCUCGUCCAUUGCUCUUCUUCUACAUCGCCGCCGCCGCCGCCGUCUUCCACCAAAUUCAAUACACCAACGGCCGAAUCUUCUGUCAAUUUGGGCCUCUCUCUCUUCUCCAAAGGACGGGUAGGUCUAUUGUUUACAAUUCUCAAGAUUAAAAGGUCGUGUACGGAAAUAAAAUUUGUCCCUCGUGUUUUCCUUAGGAUGUAUUUGGAUCAUAAAUCCAUUCAUUGGUUUCCUUAUUAUGUUCCUUUCGCCUAUAUAUCCCUCAGAUUGAUCCAAACUCAGCCUUAAAGUCAGGAAUUUAGGGUGCCAAUGAUGAAUCUUUACUAGAAAUUUUAUGGGAGUUGUAUUUAUGUACAAAUAUAUGAAAGAAGGUUUUUUUUUUUAGCCAAUCAUAGAUAUCGGAAAGAGUUAGAUGUUAGUAGUUGGACGGGUGUUGGCACUGAUCCAGAACCUCGCCCUUGGAAACCAAUAGGCCAAGAGCUCGGGUCUCAAGGAAUUUGUGUUUAUGUACCUAAGCUUGGCACUAAAAUGUUGCAGUGCUAUAUAUAUGGUCGGAGGCUAACACGCAUACAAAGCAUAGAAUUCGUAACUUGAGCUUGAAAUAGAAUACUAUUUUCAACCUUUGAAAGACGAAACUAUAUAUUUUGAAGGUAUUUGUAGGCUCAUCACCGUAAAACUCGUGUUGUUUUAAAAACUCUCCAUUUUGUGUAUGCUGUACCCCCCCUGAAGGGUGUUUCCCACUGAUUUUGAGUUGGGGCUGAAAGAUGAAUUGAUCAUUUGAUUGUCCUUCAAGAUUCAGUAUAGUGAAUCACCAACUGAUUUUAUUCCGUUGAGAACCAAAAUUUGUUAAUAUUUGAUUAUAUCAUAACUUGACUGGGUGUUAUCGGAUUUUUUAUCGGAUCUUUUGGACUAUUACAUGGUACAUUCCAUAUCAUGUGUGCGACAAUCAAUUUUCCAAAUCCCGUGGAGGCUCAGGCUGCACUCUAUAAUAAAGCCUGUUGUCAUGCUUACAGGUGGCUAAUUUCAGUUUUCUUUAUGUUGAAGUCCAGCUUACUUGGAUGAAUUCAAGCCCAGUAGCCAAGCCCAAGCCUGAUUGGCUCACAUGGAGUGUCCAUAUGAGAGUGAAACUCUCGAACUAUCUAGGACUCUUGAGAGGAUUAUCUCUAGGUAGAAUAGGAUAACUAUUAUGUAUGCUACUUCUCUUAAUUUAUAAAAGAGAGGGUAGGGUACUGAGAUCGGUGUGCAGUCUGCUAUGGGCAAAUAUUGAUGCGAUGUGAUGUGAGUUGAGAGUCAGAGGCAAGACUGAGAGAGGGUGGUGAGUCGAGAGGGUGAGUCUCUUCAUUUGUAAUUCUUAUUAUUUUCUCUCAGAACGUAGGCAUUACUAACCGAACCACGUAAAUUGAUCGGUUAUUCGUUUUGAGCAAAAUACUUUCCUGCUCUAUUUUGUUGCCCCCUGGAUUAAUCAUGUAAAGACUUAGCAUAAUUCUAGGCCUUGGGAUGCUGAAUUAUGUUUCUUAGUUAGAAUUGGAUGGUAUGUGAAAUACGGUAUUUCAUAGCAUUAUCAGGUAUACAAAAGAGAACAACGUCAGAG